ACAUUCCUACGGGGGGCAGCAGUGGGGAAUAUUGCACAAUGGGGGAAACCCUGAUGCAGCGACGCCGCGUGGAGGAAGAAGGUCUUCGGAUUGUAAACUCCUGUCCUUGGGGACGAUAAUGACGGUACCCAAGGAGGAAGCACCGGCUAACUACGUGCCAGCAGCCGCGGUAAAACGUAGGGUGCAAGCGUUGUCCGGAAUUACUGGGUGUAAAGGGCGUGUAGGCGGGAAAGCAAGUCAGAUGUGAAAACCAUGGGCUCAACCUGUGGCCUGCAUUUGAAACUGUUUUUCUUGAGUACUGGAGG
rnacentral:rRNA from 1 species